CCGGGUUUUAGGAGCCUCGAUCAGGUCUUUCUCCUUUUUGAUCAGAGAAUGCUCCCAAGGCCUGCAGGUAUUGCAUGCUUUUAUCUCUUUUCAAGAAAUGAUAACUAUAGCAGAGCUUUUCUUUUUCAGAAAACCUAAAUAAGAUUUUUAAAUAUCCUUCAGCUGCUGAAGCUAAAAAUGCUACUUUCUUCCUGGUCUUACGUCCGGAGUGUGGAGUUGCGGCCCUCCAGAGCUACCUCCACCAGCGUCUUGGCCCAGUGGUCAUUAGGUAAGGAGAAGAGUGAAAUGGCUCAGGUGGAUUUUGAACUCUGAGCUUCAAUGCCAAAGCAUACGAAAUGUUCAGUGAUUAAAACUGGGAAACGCCUGCUCCCAGCAGCGUGGAAUGAUUUGAUUCACUAUCAGCAAGCAGUCUCAUGGAAGAACAGCAAGAAAGGUCUCUUCAAGCCUUUCAGAUGAAAAGCUUUCUUAAGAUUACAGCCCUAUGGUUCAAAACAAGAUCUCCGCUUCACAAUGCAAGGUAAGCAGACCUGCCACUAUGCUGCAGAAACCUCUGCCCAUUUUGGCCUUUAUUAAAAUAAAUUAUGACUAAUUUACCACAGAGACGUUCAGAUAAACAAGUUCUAACCUAGCAACUUGGUAUUUCCUGAUUAUUUAUAAAUCGACAGCACCUCCUACAGGAAUUAAUUUGUUAGUGUUAUGUUAAAUGUUAGGUUAGGGGAAAAGUCCCUGCGAAGGCAGAGGGAGAAAUGCCUCCAAAAUGUGUCCUAUGCCUCGUGCAGUUCCAGGCUCAUGGAUAAAUAAGAAACUUGUAAGUGUGCCAAGAUUUUAAAGGAACUUCUCUAUUAAGGGUAAGAAUGACAAAUUUCACCAGGCUGGUUUUCUAAAAAAUAUCCCCGUUGAGGACUUUUGUUUGGGUUCUUAAGUCGUAGAUUUAUUAAACGUGGAGGAUUCUUCUUAGGCUUUAGGUACGUAGAGGAAUCUCUACACGUACUAGACAUCCCUUUUAUUAUGAGGUUCAUCUUAUGAGGUUCAUCUCCUUGGUCUCUACCUUAUAUUUCAAAACAAAAGUAGAAUUACAUGUCCAAUAUUUUUAUUUUAAAAAAUUAUUUUCCAUCAUUAGGGUAUGUGGAACACAUUAACUGAGCCUCUUUAAAGCUAUUUGUUAUCAUGGUAUGAUUUUGUGUGAAAAUGCCUCUCUUCCGUUUUUAAGUUUACAGUUAGAAUGGUAGUUCGUUAGGGCUUUUGAGCACCCUUGGGUGACCAAGGCUGAAAGCCAAACAAAAUGAACAUCUUCCAUAACUACAUGGAAAUUUUUUCUCAGAAUUAGAUGGUUAAAAAUAUUGGAGAUUUUGGCAGUACUUUAUAGUUUCUCAAUCCUAACAAUAAGGAUAAUUAAAUCAGAGACUAAAAAAAAUCUCAUGGCCACUUUAUAAAAAGUGGACCACAUUGGCCAGGCAUGGUGGUUCACGCCUAUAAUCCCAGCACUUUGGGAGGUUGAGGCAGGCAGAUUGCUUGAAUUCAGGAGUUCAAGACCAGCCUGAGCAACAUAGCAAGAUCUCAUCUGCAUUAAAAAAGUGGACCACGGUUUGUGAGUCAAAUGAAAAAAGUGUAAGAAAUAACGUUUUAAAUUCAUUUUUAAUUUUAGGAUGCAUUUCAGCAUUUCUCUUCAUGAACACUGUAUUGCUUCAGAAACCCUUUAAGGUAGUAAGUAUUGCAUAGGUUUUGACAUUAUAAAAAUUAUAAAGUCUAAAAAGGCAUAAGGUAGAAAAUAAUCACUGCAACACUGAUGAACUCAAGGUGUAAAUUAGCAGUGUUUACCAAUUUCAAAUGCAUGCUUUUUUUUAAGUGAAGAAGGGAUCUUUGAGGUGCGCUGUAAGUUAUUUAACAAUACUGUGG
rnacentral:lncRNA from 10 species